rnacentral:rRNA from 1 species
CACCGGCGCCACAAGUGGCUAUCGCUAUUAUUGGGCCUAAAGCGUCCGUAGUCGGUUCUGUACAUCUUCUGUGAAAUCGCAGCGCUCAACGUUGCGGCAUGCGGGAGACACGGCAGAGCUUGAGACCGGGAGGCGUCGAGGGUAUUCCACGGGGACCGGUAAAAUGGUAUAAUCCGUGGAGGACCACCUGUGGCGAAGGCGCUCGACGAGAACGGAUCUGACGAUGAGGGACGAAAGCCAGGGGAGCAAACCGG